GCCAUUUGAGUCGGCAGCCAUAUUUGAAAUAGUCUAUUCCUUUGUUCGUCAUUUAGGCUGUAUUUGUCUAAAUUAGACUCAAACAUUUCAGCAUUAGUAAAUGCAUCCACUGACGUGUCAUAAACUGGAAUACAUUUCACAAUUUUCAUUAAUUGUUCAUGGAUUUUCAAAUUAAGUUUUGCAGCUCUAUCUUGAAAUUUACAUUUCUGCAAAUCACUCUGUGAGGAUACAUUUUCAGUAUCUAUUGGUUCUGGGAUUAGAUUCUGUGCCUGUAUGUUUCUUGUAUUAACACACACUAGUUUAACUUCUUUUCUAAGCUGGCAACUCAAAUCAUUUCUUUGUUCAACUCUAUCCUCUAAUUCACAGACUUUUUCUGACAAUGUUCUCUCUGUUACUUUGUUACACUGUUCAUUUAAAUCUGAUUUGUCUUCUGUUAACCCAUUCAAAUCUACUUCUUUUUCUGAUGAUUCAAAAUUUUCUUGACCUGCAUCUCGUUUACAAAUCAAUGCAUUGUAAGUACAGACUAGUUUCAUAACAUUUCUGAUCUUUGUUUUUUCUUAUUAACA